rnacentral:lncRNA from 1 species
GCUAAGGGUCAGCAGCAACACACUGCACUCCUGACUCCUGCUCUGAUACUUGCCUCACUGGAACCGUCAUCCCCUCUCAUGUGGCAAAUGCAGCUGGGUGACAAAACUGAGGCUCAGAGGCCAAUGGCCUUGUUCAAGGUCACACGCCCACUAAAUGAGAGACCCGGAGACCUGGCAUCACACGCUAACUAAGAAUACUGGAAGGAGAUAAGAUUGGGACUGAAAGACCUGGAUUGAAUGAUUUUUAUCAAGUCACUUCCCUUCCUUGGAUCUCCAUUUACUCAUCAAUAAACUAAGCAGAUUGGAUUAAAUGUUCUGUAAGGUGCCUUCUAGGUGAGGAAGAAGUUGGGAUAAGUCAUAAGGAAGCACCCCAAUGAACAUCUCCUGCCUCUAUGGUUUUUCUGACAUCCAUCAACAUCUGUCAGAAUUUGAAAAUGUGACUGCUUUUAGGCACUGUGCUUAGUGCUGGAGAUUCCGUGUUGAAGCUCACAGUCUGGGGCAGAGAUGGAAACAGACACAAAUAACUAUAAUACAAUGUGGU